ACUCCCAUGUGAAGAGUCUUUACCCCUUGCUACGGGAUUCGGUGGCGUGGUGCGACUCGGGGCGAGGCAUGGCAUGCAGGCAGAGCACAGGGACUUGAAGGGCCCUGACCCGCGGCUGGCCAGCAUCCUCCCUGAGGUCGUCCGGCACUCACCGAGGCCACCGCCUGUUACCCACACGACUGACGUCACCGCUUCCGCUCUCGAGCAGGAGCCUGGACGCGCUGCCCGCCUGGGCCGAGACAUGCGUUCCACCCGGGUCCGUGUGGCGCCUACCGCGCAGCACGUGCCCGAUGGAGGGGACGAGCAAGGACAGGAUGAGCCGGUACGACGCAUGGCCCGAUUGAAGGGCAGGCAGUGCGUCCUUGGCGACCAGGAUGUAGCUGUGGUGCAACAGAGGCGUGCGAGCCUUUUUUGAGAGCGUAUGUUUAUCGACUAGUUCGUGGUGGAGUGGGGCGUGCAAGGGCGUCUCACUGCCACGGGCGGACACGCAAAACGUCAAUAAUGUAACGGCCAAACAGCAAGGAGGAACACGCGCGCGCACACGCAGGCGACAGUGCGAACGUCGCACAUAUUGUUCUCGCCCCCGACGGCUCCGCACUGCCUCCGCCUGAAAAGACAGCGUGCGCGCGCGCCUGUUUCUGUCCUCUUUCUUUUCCUCGCCUUGCCUUUUGUUUUUGUGUCAUGGCUUCCUGCGCGCGUUUCUGUUCGUUUCUGUCUUGCGAUCUCGCUUUCGUUCCUCGACUCGCCGACCCCCGCAGCGUCAGGGCGGCGGCCGCCAUCGCCCUCUUCUCCGGGAGGAGGCGUGGUGGUGGUGGUGUGGUGGCGCCGAGCUCUUUGCUGCUGCCAGCGGCAAGGCUGUGCUAUGCGCGCGCGUUUGCAUGCCGGUGUAUGUGCGCCGGCCUAUGUGCACACGCAUGCGUGCGUGUGUGCCUCGUGGCAACGCCGCUUCUUUUUGCACUCAUUCCUCUUCGUCCGCCCCUCUCCUCUCUGCUGCACCUUCGCGCGUGCCUCACGGGUGCUUGUUGGCGAAACACGAUGAUGAGUGGCAACCCAG
rnacentral:misc_RNA from 1 species